UACGUAGGGGCAAGCGUUGUCCGGAUUUAUUGGGCGUAAAGAGCGUGUAGGCGGCCUGACAGGUCUGCUGUGAAAACUCGAGGCUCAACCUCGAGAUGUCGGCGGAAACCGUCUGGCUAGAGUCCGGAAGAGGAGAGUGGAAUUCCUGGUGUAGCGGUGGAAAUGCGCAGAUAUCAGGAAGAACACCUAUGGCGAAGGCAGCUCUCUGGGACGGUACUGAGCUGAGACGCGAAGCGUGG
rnacentral:rRNA from 1 species